rnacentral:piRNA from 1 species
UCCCGACUUGAUGAAGGCAGAGUAGCGG